rnacentral:rRNA from 1 species
ACUAAGCGUACACGGUGGAUGCCCUGGCAGUCAGAGGCGAUGAAGGACGUGCUAAUCUGCGAUAAGCGCCGGUAAGGUGAUAUGAACCGUUAUAACCGGCGAUUUCCGAAUGGGGAAACCCAGUGUGAUUCGUCACACUAUCAUUAACUGAAUCCAUAGGUUAAUGAGGCGAACCGGGGGAACUGAAACAUCUAAGUACCCCGAGGAAAAGAAAUCAACCGAGAUUCCCCCAGUAGCGGCGAGCGAACGGGGAGGAGCCCAGAGCCUGAAUCAGCAUGUGUGUUAGUGGAAGCGUCUGGAAAGGCGCGCGAUACAGGGUGACAGCCCCGUACACAAAAGCGCAUGUGCUGUGAGCUCGAUGAGUAGGGCGGGACACGUGGUAUCCUGUCUGAAUAUGGGGGGACCAUCCUCCAAGGCUAAAUACUCCUGACUGACCGAUAGUGAACCAGUACCGUGAGGGAAAGGCGAAAAGAACCCCGGCGAGGGGAGUGAAAAAGAACCUGAAACCGUGUACGUACAAGCAGUGGGAGCNUGAGGGAAAGGCGAAAAGAACCCCGGCGAGGGGAGUGAAAAAGAACCUGAAACCGUGUACGUACAAGCAGUGGGAGCCCCACCACUAAGCCAGUGGUGAACUCCACAUACGCAUCCUUUGCUGAGGAUACGGUUAACGGAGCGCAAGCGACGUUCAACCGCAAAAGAAGCAGAGGGGGCUUAGUGGUGGGGUGACUGCGUACCUUUUGUAUAAUGGGUCAGCGACUUAUAUUCUGUAGCAAGGUUAACCGUAUAGGGGAGCCGGAGGGAAACCGAGUCUUAAUUGGGCGUUAAGUUGCAGGGUAUAGACCCGAAACCCGGUGAUCUAGCCAUGGGCAGGUUGGGCGUUAAGUUGCAGGGUAUAGACCCGAAACCCGGUGAUCUAGCCAUGGGCAGGUUGAAGGUUGGGUAACACUAACUGGAGGACCGAACCGACUAAUGUUGAAAAAUUAGCGGAUGACCUGUGGCUGGGGGUGAAAGGCCAAUCAAACCGGGAGAUAGCUGGUUCUCCCCGAAAGCUAUUUAGGUAGCGCCUCGUGAAUUCAUCUCCGGGGGUAGAGCACUGUUUCGGCUAGGGGGCCAUCCCGGCUUACCAACCCGAUGCAAACUGCGAAUACCGGAGAAUGUUAUCACGGGAGACACACGGCGGGUGCUAACGUCCGUCGUGAAGAGGGAAACAACCCAGACCGCCAGCUAAGGUCCCAAAGUCAUGGUUAAGUGGGAAACGAUGUGGGAAGGCCCAGACAGCCAGGAUGUUGGCUUAGAAGCAGCCAUCAUUUAAAGAAAGCGUAAUAGCUCACUGGUCGAGUCGGCCUGCGCGGAAGAUGUAACGGGGCUAAACCAUGCACCGAAGCUGCGGCAGCGAACGUAUCACUUAAAGCGAUUCAGCGGGUUACGAUUGACGGAGCGAAGCGACGUCAAAGCGUAUACAAAGUCGAGUCGGUUUAAGGAUACGUUCGUUGGGUAGGGGAGCGUUCUGUAAGCCUGUGAAGGUGGCCUGUGAGGGUUGCUGGAGGUAUCAGAAGUGCGAAUGCUGACAUAAGUAACGAUAAAGCGGGUGAAAAGCCCGCUCGCCGGAAGACCAAGGGUUCCUGUCCAACGUUAAUCGGGGCAGGGUGAGUCGACCCCUAAGGCGAGGCCGAAAGGCGUAGUCGAUGGGAAACGGGUUAAUAUUCCCGUACUUGGUGUUACUGCGAAGGGGGGACGGAGAAGGCUAUGUUGGCCGGGCGACGGUUGUCCCGGUUUAAGCGUGUAGGUGUGUGUUCCAGGUAAAUCCGGUUCACUUUAACACUGAGGCGUGAUGACGAGGCACUACGGUGCUGAAGCAACAAAUGCCCUGCUUCCAGGAAAAGCCUCUAAGCAUCAGGUAACAUCAAAUCGUACCCCAAACCGACACAGGUGGUCAGGUAGAGAAUACCAAGGCGCUUGAGAGAACUCGGGUGAAGGAACUAGGCAAAAUGGUGCCGUAACUUCGGGAGAAGGCACGCUGACAUGUAGGUGAAGUGAUUUACUCAUGGAGCUGAAGUCAGUCGAAGAUACCAGCUGGCUGCAACUGUUUAUUAAAAACACAGCACUGUGCAAACACGAAAGUGGACGUAUACGGUGUGACGCCUGCCCGGUGCCGGAAGGUUAAUUGAUGGGGUCAGCGCAAGCGAAGCUCCUGAUCGAAGCCCCGGUAAACGGCGGCCGUAACUAUAACGGUCCUAAGGUAGCGAAAUUCCUUGUCGGGUAAGUUCCGACCUGCACGAAUGGCGUAAUGAUGGCCAGGCUGUCUCCACCCGAGACUCAGUGAAAUUGAACUCGCUGUGAAGAUGCAGUGUACCCGCGGCAAGACGGAAAGACCCCGUGAACCUUUACUAUAGCUUGACACUGAACAUUGAGCCUUGAUGUGUAGGAUAGGUGGGAGGCUUUGAAGUGUGGACGCCAGUCUGCAUGGAGCCGGCCUUGAAAUACCACCCUUUAAUGUUUGAUGUUCUAACGUGGACCCGUGAUCCGGGUUGCGGACAGUGUCUGGUGGGUAGUUUGACUGGGGCGGUCUCCUCCUAAAGAGUAACGGAGGAGCACGAAGGUUGGCUAAUCCUGGUCGGACAUCAGGAGGUUAGUGCAAUGGCAUAAGCCAGCUUGACUGCGAGCGUGACGGCGCGAGCAGGUGCGAAAGCAGGUCAUAGUGAUCCGGUGGUUCUGAAUGGAAGGGCCAUCGCUCAACGGAUAAAAGGUACUCCGGGGAUAACAGGCUGAUACCGCCCAAGAGUUCAUAUCGACGGCGGUGUUUGGCACCUCGAUGUCGGCUCAUCACAUCCUGGGGCUGAAGUAGGUCCCAAGGGUAUGGCUGUUCGCCAUUUAAAGUGGUACGCGAGCUGGGUUUAGAACGUCGUGAGACAGUUCGGUCCCUAUCUGCCGUGGGCGCUGGAGAACUGAGGGGGGCUGCUCCUAGUACGAGAGGACCGGAGUGGACGCAUCACUGGUGUUCGGGUUGUCAUGCCAAUGGCACUGCCCGGUAGCUAAAUGCGGAAGAGAUAAGUGCUGAAAGCAUCUAAGCACGAAACUUGCCCCGAGAUGAGUUCUCCCUGAGACUUAAAGUCUCCUGAAGGAACGUUGAAGACGACGACGUUGAUAGGCCGGGUGUGUAAGCGCAGCGAUGCGUUGAGCUAACCGGUACUAAUGAACCGUGAGGCUUAACC